rnacentral:lncRNA from 1 species
UGUGCAUAUCACGUGAGAAGUCGUCUUUUUUUUUUUUUUUGCUUGCUGCGUGGACAGCUACGUGCCUACGUGAGAGAGCAUGUGUGUGGUGUGUACCAUCACUAGUUUACCAUUCUAUAAUGUAAGAAAGUACGUACCAUAGAAGUUAAUUAUAGGAUGUGAUGAUAUGAAUCUGUGUCUGUCUGCCAGUUUUUGUCUGUCCAAGUGAUGGGUCAUGGAUGACAUUUUUAACUGCAAAGCAAAAUGCAUUACUACAUAAAUAUUGAUUUUUCGUAAAUAUUUUUGAUUGGUGACAAGAUUAACCAAUUCAAUAACCCAUUAUAGGGAGUUCAGAUCUUUUACAAAUUAUUUGGAUUCUGCAAUUUCACUGCAAAUAACAACUAUAAAGCAUACAAUUCCUUUUUCAAGUGUACCAGGGAAGCUCACAAUCAGCUAGAAUACCCAUUGAACGAACAAGAAUGUUGAAGGCUUUCUUUCACAAGUAGAGUAGAACCAUGUGAUUCAAGGUCAAAUACCAAACUCAUAUGUAGAAUAUGAGGACCAAGAGAAGCAGAUGCAUGCAGAAGAAAUUCACACAAAAGGUCAAGCCGACAGAGAACUAUAUAUAGUAGGGGGAAGGGGGGUGGAGAGAAAUGAAAAGCUGGAUUGUACCAGAAAUGGUGGAUACCAAGCAGCAGAGAAGAUGGGCAGCACUGCAGAAAAGAUGGGUAAGACGAUCCAUGUGCAUCAACCACAGAUCCAAGGAUUUUUCUAUAUCACGCUUUCACUCAAAAAUAAAAAGGAUUUUCAUUUCUCAGACUCCACCCAACCUACAUCCAUUCCAAGCAAGUGAUGAAAAAAGUUGACAAAUUAAAAGAGAAUUGAAAAGCAGAAAUGAAGUGAAGCAUUCACCUUUGAAGUGGGAUUAUUUCAGUACGGUUCUUGUGCGAAAGAAGUUAGUCCUUAGUCCUCAUCAAGACAAACUACAUGAACUGUGAGGUUAAGGUAUCAACUCGAUCUUCAAGUACAUCACAACCUUGAGAUAUAUAUGUAGGAAAAUACACACCGAUAUAUUACUGUUCUAAAAUAAAUAAAAGGGAAUAGAUGAUGCAAACCAGAAUAAAUGGAUGAAGGACAAGAUUUAGAUCGAGUCGAGAUAAAAAUCUCUCUCCUUAAGACAUUAUUCGCCCCGUACAUGUGCCGAACGGUUUAUCAAUGGCGGAUUGUCUCCCAAGAUACAACGAUCUAUCCUUCUUAGCGUAGCAGCACUUCAAACGCAUAGAAGACGGCGAACCAAUUCUUUGUUAUACUCUCUCAUGGCAAGACACAAACACUAGAAGAAGGAAAAUCAAUUUGAUUUUUAAAAGUGAUUUGAAGACAAACACAAGAUACACUUAUAUAGUAGGAAGACACCUUUUUGAAAAUGCACAUGUCUAUUCAAUGUAUAUUUGAAUAGACACCUGACCCAAUACAAUGUACACAUCUGUUGGGACAGACACACCCAUUGGGAAUGAGUGUCUACAAAGUAUGUGUCUAUUGGGAAAGACACACCUAUUGGGAUGGGUUGGGCCAAAUACAAUGUAUGUGAAUACAUACCCAUUCAUCUACUAUAACACAAGUUAGCCAUGGCCAGUGGUUAACUUAGGACUUAAAUUUCUCAUUCAUAUACAAAUGUUUUGACCACUUGAAAACAUUUCCAACAAUAUAAUAUAUUCACUAAUUAAAAAUUAGAAAAAUCUUGCAACUUUUGAAUUUAAAAAGGGAGGAGGGGGGAUCACAAAUUACCUCUUUUAAUUUUGUGUUUUGAUGACUCAUGCCUGAAAUCAUUCUAGUUCACAGUCCAUAUUAAGGAUGGAACCAAACCAGUUAAGUAGCAACAGCUUCAUGCCUCCAUCAGACUCAGCUCAGCCCCAGAUGCAAAGAGACACGAGAGGCAGAAAACCUCCAAAUUCCAAAGCACAGUUGAAACCGCUUAUAGCCCUGAAGCUUUAUCUCUAUUGGAGUAUAAAGAUCAACUUGCAACAACAUUAUCAUCAUCAGUUAAAUAUCCAUAUCCAACUUUAAUAUAUUCAUUAACAGUUGGAUAAGCUUUUGAAAGGCAUAUCUCAGUAUAAUUCCAGUUUAUCCAGUGAAUUGCAACCUAGAGCUGGAAGUUCAUGACAAUAGGCCAUGUGGCAGUAGUAACGAGAGUAUGUAGAUGCUGAAACCAUCAUACUCAGCAGCUUUGAGAUAAUACAUCUAGUUAAUA